rnacentral:rRNA from 1 species
UACGAAGGGGGCUAGCGUUGUUCGGAAUUACUGGGCGUAAAGGGCGCGUAGGCGGUACUUCAAGUCAGGCGUGAAAGCCCCGGGCUUAACCUGGGAACUGCGUUUGAAACUGGGGAGCUAGAGUGUAGAAGAGGGGGGUGGAAUUCCAGGUGUAGCAGUGAAAUGCGUAAAGAUCUGGAGGAACACCGAUGGCGAAGGCAGCCCCCUGGGCUAACACUGACGCUCAUGCACGAAAGCGUGGGGAGCAAACAGG